AAGCGGUGGAGCAUGUGGUUUAAUUCGACGCAACGCGAAGAACCUUACCUGGGCUUGACAUCUGCGGAACCUUAUGGAAACAUGGGGGUGCCUGGCAACAGGGAGCCGCAAGACAGGUGCUGCAUGGCUGUCGUCAGCUCGUGUCGUGAGAUGUUGGGUUAAGUCCCGCAACGAGCGCAACCCUUGUCUUUAGUUGCCAUCAUUUUAGUUGGGCACUCUAAAGAGGCUGCCGGUGUUAAACCGGAGGAAGGUGGGGACGGCGUCAAGUCCUCAUGGCCUUUAUGCCCAGGGCUACACACGUGCUACAAUGGGCGGUACAAAGGGUCGCAAACCUGUGAAGGGGAGCUAAUCCCAAAAAUACAGUCUCAGUUCGGAUUGAAGUCUGCAACUCGACUUCAUGAAGUCGGAAUCGCUAGUAAUCGCGGAUCAGAACGCCGCGGUGAAUACGUUCUCGGGGUUU
rnacentral:rRNA from 1 species